rnacentral:rRNA from 1 species
UCACUAGCCGUUGGAUCCUUGAGAUUUUAGUGGCGCAGCUAACGCAUUAAGUUGACCGCCUGGGGAGUACGGCCGCAAGGUUAAAACUCAAAUGAAUUGACGGGGGCCCGCACAAGCGGUGGAGCAUGUGGUUUAAUUCGAAGCAACGCGAAGAACCUUACCAGGCCUUGACAUCCAAUGAACUUUCCAGAGAUGGAUUGGUGCCUUCGGGAACAUUGAGACAGGUGCUGCAUGGCNUGUCGUCAGCUCGUGUCGUGAGAUGUUGGGUUAAGUCCCGUAACGAGCGCAACCCUUGUCCUUAGUUACCAGCACGUAAUGGUGGGCACUCUAAGGAGACUGCCGGUGACAAACCGGAGGAAGGUGGGGAUGACGUCAAGUCAUCAGGGCCCUUACGGCCCUGGGC